UUCUCUAGUUGCUAAUCUGGAGCACCGGACUGGGUGGUACACAUUAACAACCAAAAUCUCAAUUAAGGCUAACCCCAAACUCAGGCUACUCAAAAGUUCGUGACCUACAAAAAGAAGAGUAGUUCUAGCAACAAAAAUUGCGAAAAGACCCACACACCCACAGAGGACUCAGUAUGAGUCCUCCAUGUAGGUGCAGUGUUUCUGGAUCUUCCAAUCCUGGGCAGAUUCACGCAUCGAGGAGCGUGUCCGUUAGUACCAAGUGGAACUGAACAUGGAAUUCUGCUUAACCAGCAACCUAGGAUGCAAACUCCUGAGAGAUAAUAAGAGAAUGACUUUUCCAUCCAAGCAUGAUAAGUACAUCAAACUGAAAAUGAUGCCCAGGAACAAGCAGUUCCAGAAACAGGAAUUCAAAUAAAAAUGGCUUUGUAACAUU